AACAUCUUCUUACCAAAAAGUGCAAGGGUAAGGAGAUACGUUCUGCGCAUGCGCAACCCUAUCUCCUUAAAUACGCAUAAUUUGUUAAAAGGAUAUUAAGCAAAGUUGUAGCCCUCAUCAAGACGAACAACUUUUGUUAACAUCUUCUUACCAAAAAAUGCAAAGAUAAGGAGAUACGUUCUGCGCAUGCGCAGCGCUAUCUCCUUAAAUACGCAUAAUUUGUUAAAAGGAUAUU
rnacentral:miRNA from 1 species